AAGUCGUAACAAGGUUUCCGUAGGUGAACCUGCGGAAGGAUCAUUAUCACGUAUCCACGUAUCAACCAUUGUGAACUGUUGCGACCGUUGAAAAUUUGGAAAGAGUUGUUAUAAUAAACGUUUGUUUUUCUUCGUUUAGAAAAAACAACAAACAAUAGUGAUUUGAAGUUGUUUGAGUUUAUUAUAACCUACAAUCGAAUUGUCUUUCUAAUUUUUAACGAGUAUUUAUUUUUUCAAAUCAUUAUUAACUAUUUAAACCCAAUUUAAUGCAAUUUUGAACUGAAUUAAUUUCUUACUUACUUUUUAUAAAGUAAGAAGAAAUAAAUCUUUACGAAACAAAAGAACAACUCUUAGCAACGGAUAUCUUGGUUCUC
rnacentral:misc_RNA from 1 species